GAGCCGGGGCGCAGCGAGUCCCUUCCCGCCCCCUCCUGCCUGCGCCGGGAGGGGGAGCGAGAGGCGCUGGGACGCGGGUUAGGACUGGGUCAGCUCGCCCCUCCCCGCCUCCGGCUCCUCGGCGUUUCUUCCCCAGCCACAGCGACAGGCCCGGGUCGGGUCCGGACCCUGGGCCAAGGGAGACCCCCGGUUUUUCUUUGCCCAGGGCCCCUUUUCAGCUCGCACCUUUCGACUCCCGGCCUCGGAGCGGUCGGGAGGGAGGGAGAAGAGUGCUUGAGGGGUGAGGGAGUGCGUCCUGAAGGCGUUUUUAAAGGCCAUCUCACUGCCCAGGGGGUGGGGAGUCAACCCUCCACCCGGGAGGACCAAACAGUGCAAUUUGCCACAUUAACGCCUCCCGGGUGUCGGGGUGCGAAAUCCCUGUUGGAAAUGGCGGGCUGGGCUCGGUGGCCAAAGGGUGGACACUCCGGAGGUCUUAGAGAGCCGCGAAGAAUCAGUAGAGCCAGAAGGAGUGGAAGAGGGGAGGAACAGGGAGCCAGACGUCCGAGGGCCCAAGAACUUUCAGAGAGUACUUCGAGAAGUUUCUCUAUUGGCAUUUUUGGGGUCUGUCGAGAUCCUCGUUUCACUAGCCCUUUCCCCGCUCCCAGGUUCCUGCGUCAACCCGUUUUCCUUCUGCAAGGAUCCUCCCACCGCCGGGGAGGGGUGGGGGGAUGGGAGGCAAGACUUUGGGUUGUGCGGUGGAGAAUUUCCUAAAUCAAACUUGAAAUAUCAGUAUUCAGGCGCCCACCUUCACGGAUUAGGGCGUACCGUCAAGAAAGGCAUUGAAAUGCCCGAAACUGCUGCGGCUCGGGACUAAGUGCCUUAGGCCGCGGCGGCGACCCGCGCACGGGCCUGGCCUGAGGCGGUCGUGCCUCGGGGACAACUUGGGGGGCGGCGACUCUGCCUUGGAGUGGCCAGCCUCAGCUUGAAGGCGGAAAGCUGCCACCCGGCACUGAUGGAUCAAGGAAUCGAAUCCAAAUUCCACUGGAGUGGAGGGAUCCGAGGGUCUCGGCCCCCGCUGUCUCUGGUCACUGCUGCUCUGGGGACUCAGUUACAUAAUAAAAAGUUUCUUCUUAACCCACCCCCAUUCCUGCCACUUUCUUCCGACUGGCAGAUGACUUCCGCGGAUUCGAACGCCAAGAAUAAUGAGCGAAAAGACAAAAGAAAGUUCGGGGACGACCAGGUUUAGGAUUCCAUGGGGGGAAACUGGUGUCUUCCCCAAUUGGGUCUGAACUGCUUCCCUAUCCUCUGUCCUGCGCCUCUGCCUGAUGCUAGGUGUUGGCUUUAGGUGAACCUUGCCGAAGGAGGCGACAUCAGGGGCAGCUCCGUGGUCUUGAAAUGUCUCCCCUGCGCCUGAUUUCGUUUCCAGUUAAACCUUCCAGAGAAUGUCAUAGGGAAUCUUGGGCUCACCUUCCCACGAAAAAUCUUAGGGUUGCAAAAUCAGGGGUAACAUUCCCCAGGGUGUGUUCUAGGUGCAGACCUUGAGGUUCCACAGCCCCGAAAUCCUAGAGUUUGCAGGGCGUGGUGGCACCAGACCAGGAGGGCUGUGGGAGAAAGAUUCUGAGCUGGGAGAACGGGGGUUGCACUGUUAAGUGCCAGGGUGAAACGCCCGAUAUUUAAAGUAAUCAUGAGCCUCGGAGAUGCUCCUUCCGCAUUAACCAGUUAAUGACCCAGCUGCGUGGGGAAAGAGGGCCCGGAGAGGGCAGACUGCUAAAAGGAACCAGCCACGCCGGGGUGCCCCCCGCCCCCGGCCCAGAGGGUGAACCUUCACACCAGGACAAGAACCCAAGAAUCUUGCUUAAUUACAUCUCUCCAGGAGCCCCAGGGAGCAGAAGCCACCUCCCUGGCUACCCUGGUCUCCACCUGGGAAUAUUCUUGGCCAGGCCCUGAAAUACGCACCCCACCCCCCAUUCGGGAUUCAGCAUCUCCAAGGAGCCCCGACGUGGUGCUGGUCCCUCAACUGGACCGUGCUGGUGGAACCCGAAUCCGGACUCAACUCGUGGGUCCGCGGGCAGCCGAUUAUUUUCCAGGGAUUUUUAAUCCAAGAGAUUAGGUCAGAGUGAUACUCUCGCAUAGCAAGGAAAAGCAGGUGCACGGGAAGUUGAUUUGGAAAAGACAGCGCGCACAAACUCGCCGCACGCAGAAGCUUCUCGAUCAUCUCUCUCCUUCUUCCAGUAUUCCUAACGCACAAAGCGCUGUGGAGACUCGCUGCGGACGUUCUUGGAACACAGCCCAGGGCGCAGGGAGUGUACCGAAAGGGUGUCAGUCGCACACACGUGGCGCACCCAGCAGUGUGCGCUGGACGCGUACCCGGAGCCGCUGCCCGACGUGUACCCUGGGCCUGAGGCCCACCAGUUUCAGGGGCUGCUUCGCGCACUGCACACAAGCUUGGAGCCACCGAGGCCCCUUUCCUGCCCCCUCCUCGCCCAGCCCCGCGGUGCGCGCGCGUCUGGGUGGCGGGGAACCCCUGUAGCUCUGUGUUUCCCCGCCGAGGCCCAUCUUCUGUCCUUUCUUCCCAAGGCCCGGAGUCCCCCGGCGGCAGUGCAGGCUGGCUAUCCCUGGGCUUCCUGCAGACGCCGCGGGCGCGCGCUCCCACCGCUCCCUCCCCCCGCGCUCGGGUUACAGGUUAAUGAAAUGCUCGUUUUCCUCAGUCAUUUGUUUUGUUUUCCUGCAAAGUUCUGAUAAGUAGCUAACCAACGAAGCUUGUAAUUACAAUCUUACAGAAACCGGGCCGAUCUGUAUAUAAAUCUCACCAUCCAAUUACAAGAUGUAAUAAUUUUGCACUCAAGCUGGUAAUGAGGUCUAAUACUCGUGCAUGCGAUAAUCCCCUCUGGAUGCUGGCUUGAUCAGAUGUUGGCUUUGUAAUUAGACGGGCAGAAAAUCAUUAUUUCAUGUUCAAAUAGAAAAUGAGCAGCCACACGGACCCAGUGCGUGGACUGGCAUCGCACCGGGAGGAAUUCGUAUUUGGCCAGGAAUCCGGACUCGGAGCAUCCCAGGAGGCGCGGGUCAGGGGAUCCAGAGCCACCCCGGAAAAUGCUGCCGCUCCCUACCAGCUGCCAGGGCCUCGGAGGCCUUCCCGGUGUCUGGAGAAGUGACCGGGAAACUUUGGGGGAAACUUUGCCAACUUCGCUCUCUUGCUCGGGAGAGGCCGCCCACCGGAAUGGCCGCAGCGGCAGCGGGUCGCGAAGCGCCGGGUGGGCCCCGGGCCAGGCCUACGCUCUCCCCAGCGGCCAGGCCGCCCAAGGAGAGGAGGGAGGCCGGCCACCGGGUCUCCUGCGGCUCUGCUCCGCCCCCGAGCCACCCGACCGGCCCACUCCCCUGGGUCUCGGCGAGGCCCGCGAUGUGCAGCGCCCCAGACGAUGGCCGAUGGCCUAGAUCGAAAACCCCGGACCUUAGCGUGAAUAAUUUUAUUUUUCUUUCCCUCUUCAGGAUCGACUGUUUUCCCACCUGCAGUUUCGCUUCCCUCCCUUCCUUUGUGUUCCUCCGUCUCUCGCACUGUCUGGAUAUUUGAUUUCUAGGUCAUUCUUUUGGUCUUUCUUCGGCUCCCUAAUUUGUUCGGUUUUAUACUUUUUCUCAGGGCCACUUAGUUGGCCUCUCUCCAUCCGGCUCCGGCUCUCUCCUCUUUUGUCCCUGCUUCCCUCUCCUGGUGAUGGUGUCCCCCCCACACCUGCGUUUGACCAUCUUUCUUUUCUCCGUCUUUCACCCUAACCCUCCCCUAGUUCCUUCCUCAAUUUCUCGGUCCCUGUCGGGUUCUCCUCUCGGUGUCUGUCCCUUCUUCUCUCCCUCUCCAGGAUCUGUCCCCUCCUUUCUCCUCCUCUCAGCGGCUGCCUCCCUGGCGCCCCCUCCUCGUCUUCUCGGGAGAUGAAUAUGUCGCCUUAUUGGAUACCGAGGCCAGAGCCGGGUGACGGGGCUCGGUGAGAAUCGCGCAUUUUCUUCCUGCAUAUUGAGGCUAUGCCUCGUUAUGGGAACCCCCGCCUGGCUCGCCGUGGCUCCUCCGCGCUCUCCGCCCAGCGGCCUCUGAGCCCCUCCCCUGGCGUUUAGAGGCCUGUGACGGAGCGCCACCGGGAAAUUAGCGCCUGACAACGUCGUCUAUUGGCAAUAAAUUGUUUGCAAUUCCGGGUGACACAUCGCGGGAUCAAACACAGCCUCAACCUAGCCAGACUCGGUCUCCAAGAGCAGAGGUCCUUCCCUGAGGUUGGCCGAACUCGGGACCCUUGACCCAGGUGCACCUCCCAAAGUGAAGGUUUAUCAGAGCCAAGGCGCAAACUGAGCUGAGACCAAGGGAACCGACGUGAGUUGCUGAGAAAAUCCGAAGCUAAGAGCCUGGUUCUAGACACUGUCGCGCAGAGGACCCUGGACAGGAAGCGUUUGCUCUAACCCCGUGUUCCUUCCUGCUCCCUGUCAGGGGAGUCAGAGUUCCCGGUUCCAAAGAAAAACCGUAAAGGUCUGACCUUGCCUGGAAUUGCCUGAGGUCAAGUUUCCCCAACUUCAAAUUUUUGCUACCACCUCUACUCUAUUGACUUAACAUUUUUCCUUAAAUCAGGUCAUUUUAAAAACUCAAAUAUGUAUUUUUUGGAUGAAGAGUUGAUACUACUAUUGGUAUGACUGUAAAAAAAAAUUAAAAUAAUAAAAAGAGCUGUUAGUCACCAGAAAAGGAAAUUGUAGAAGAUAAAGAGCUAAAAAUCAAGCACUAUUCAUACAUUUUGCCCAGACUUGCUUGGGAAAGACUUCUAGGGGUUCAAGAGCAUGUAUGUAUCAUUAGCAAGUGCUGAGGUGUAAAAUAGUGAAUCUUUCUAGGAAGAAACGAGAACAUUGAAAAGGGGAUACUUCUUACCCUUCAGUAUUCAUUUAAUUCUCUGCCCUCACUAUCUCAAGUCAUAUUGGGGUUCCCAAGAGCAGCCCUGCUUUGGGAUUUGCCUGUAUUAUUCUGUUGAAGAUUGUGUAAAUAAAUUAAGA